CCUACGGGAGGCAGCAGUGAGGAAUAUUGGUCAAUGGCCGGAAGGCUGAACCAGCCAAGUCGCGUGAGGGACGACUGCCCUAUGGGUUGUAAACCUCUUUUAUAUGGGAAGAAUGAGUGCUACGUGUAGCAUGAUGUCUGUACCUUAUGAAUAAGCAUCGGCUAACUCCGUGCCAGCAGCCGCGGUAAUACGGAGGAUGCGAGCGUUAUCCGGAUUUAUUGGGUUUAAAGGGUGCGUAGGUGGUUUAUUAAGUCAGCGGUUAAAACUUGUGGCUCAAACUUGAAAUUGCCGUUAAAACUGGUAGACUUGAGUAUAGAUGAGGUAGGCGGAAUGCGUGGAGUAGCGGUGAAAUGCAUAGAUAUCACGUAGAACUCCGAUAGCGAAGGCAGCUUACUAGACUACAACUGACGCUGAAGCACGAGAGCGUGGGUAGCGAACAGGAUUAGAUACCCCUGUAGUC
rnacentral:rRNA from 1 species